rnacentral:rRNA from 1 species
AAGUGGGCCUAAAAGCAGCCACUUUACAAAAAGCGUUAAAGCUUAGUUGUCCUAACUAAAAAUUCCUAUAAUUAAUUAUAACCCUUAAUCUGUACUGAAUAAUCUCAUAGUAUUAUGAGAGCCUGUAUGUUAGAACUAGUAACAAGAAGAAGCCCUUCUCCAAAAUGUAAGCAUGAGCCAAAAUGAACCAUUCAUUGGUACUUAAAGUUAUAAACCCACUGUAGUAACCCAAACAAGAAAAAUCUACAAGUUAUUAACGUCAACCUAACACCAGUACAUUUCUGGAAAGAUUAAAAGAAUGGGAAGGAACUCGGCAAAUAAUUAACCCCGCCUGUUUACCAAAAACAUCGCCUCCUGCCCUAUUAUAGGAGGUCCAGCCUGCCCAGUGACAAAGUUAAACGGCCGCGGUACCCUAACCGUGCAAAGGUAGCGCAAUCACUUGUUCUUUAAAUGAGGACUAGUAUGAACGGCAUCACGAGGGUUAUGCUGUCUCCCCACUCUAUUCAGUGAAACUGAUCUUCCCGUGAAGAAGCGGGAAUAAAAAUAUAAGACGAGAAGACCCCAUGGAGCUUUAAACUCAGUAGCAACUGCCUAAAUAAAAACCUCACAUUCUGCAGCCGUGCUUGCUAGUUUUCGGUUGGGGUGACCACGGAGUAAAACUAAACCUCCAUGAUGAAAGGAAUUAAUAUCCUAACCCACGAGCUACAGCUCUAAGUAUUAAUAAAUUAACUAAAUUGACCCAAUUACUUGAUCAACGAACCAAGUUACCCUGGGGAUAACAGCGCAAUCCAUUUCAAGAGCUCAUAUCGACAAAUGGGUUUACGACCUCGAUGUUGGAUCAGGGUAUCCCAGUGGCGCAGCUGCUACUAAUGGUU